ACUCCUGCGGGAGGCAGCAGUGGGGAAUAUUGCACAAUGGGCGCAAGCCUGAUGCAGCCAUGCCGCGUGUAUGAAGAAGGCCUUCGGGUUGUAAAGUACUUUCAGCGGGGAGGAAGGCAAUACGGUUAAUAACCGUGUUGAUUGACGUUACCCGCAGAAGAAGCACCGGCUAACUCCGUGCCAGCAGCCGCGGUAAUACGGAGGGUGCAAGCGUUAAUCGGAAUUACUGGGCGUAAAGCGCACGCAGGCGGUCUGUCAAGUCGGAUGUGAAAUCCCCGGGCUCAACCUGGGAACUGCAUUCGAAACUGGCAGGCUUGAGUCUUGUAGAGGGGGGUAGAAUUCCAGGUGUAGCGGUGAAAUGCGUAGAGAUCUGGAGGAAUACCGGUGGCGAAGGCAGCCCCCUGGACAAAGACUGACGCUCAGGUGCGAAAGCGUGGGGAGCAAACAGGAUUAGAUACCCUUGUAGUCCCAUGAU
rnacentral:rRNA from 1 species